rnacentral:tRNA from 1 species
GCUGCUGUAGCUCAGUUGGUAGAGCAACUGAUUCGUAAUCAGUAGGUCGACAGUUCGAGUCCGUCCAGCAGCACCA